AUUGAACGCUGACGGCAUGCCUUACACAUGCAAGUCGAACGGCAGCGGACCUUCGGGUGCCGGCGAGUGGCGAACGGGUGAGUAAUAUAUCGGAACGUACCUUUCAGUGGGGGAUAACGUAGCGAAAGUUACGCUAAUACCGCAUAUUCUGUGAGCAGGAAAGCAGGGGAUCGCAAGACCUUGCGCUGAUUGAGCGGCCGAUAUCAGAUUAGCUAGUUGGUGAGGUAAAGGCUCACCAAGGCGACGAUCUGUAGCGGGUCUGAGAGGAUGAUCCGCCACACUGGAACUGAGACACGGUCCAGACUCCUACGGGAGGCAGCAGUGGGGGAUUUUGGACAAUGGGCGCAAGCCUGAUCCAGCCAUGCCGCGUGAGUGAAGAAGGCCUCGG
rnacentral:rRNA from 1 species